rnacentral:rRNA from 1 species
GACGAACGCUGGCGGCAGGCUUAACACAUGCAAGUCGAACGAGUGGCGGACGGGUGAGUAAUGCUUGGGAAUCUAGCUUAUGGAGGGGGAUAACUACGGGAAACUGUAGCUAAUACCGCGUAACAUAGGAUGAGCCCAAGUGGGAGUAGCUAGUUGGUGGGGUAAAGGCCUACCAAGGCGACGAUCAGUAGCGGGUCUGAGAGGAUGAUCCGCCACACUGGGACUGAGACACGGCCCAGACUCCUGCGGUAGGCAGCAGUGGGGAAUUUUGGACAAUGGGCGCAAGCCUGAUCCAGCCAUGCCGCGUGUCUGAAGAAGGCCUUCGGGUUGUAAAGGACUUUUGUCAGGGAAGCGGUACCUGAAGAAUAAGCACCGGCUAACUACGUGCCAGCCGCCGCGGUAAUUC